CUUUGGAGGUGGACUAGAUGUGUAUCACAUUAAGUUUAGGUGAACUGCUUCUGGUGUGAGGCCUCAGUGCACAGAGGAUCCCAGAGGAGCUUGAAGACUACCUCAUCUGACUUUAGUUAUCCCAAGAGACUGCUCAAAGCUGCUGCUGGUUCUUGCCAAAGAUGAAGACACGGAAAGAAAAAGGCAAGCCAUGGGAGAAUUACCAUGCAGAAGAGAGAGAGAGAAGGUAUUUUAAUUCUAUUUUGCAGAGGAAGAAGUUCAAGUAUAGCCAGAAGAGAAGUGACAGAGGGCUUUACAUGGUUCAGAACAGAGCUUUAUUCUUUCUCUUCAACUUUCUGCUAGAGGAUAAAACUUCAUGAUGAAUCUUCU
rnacentral:lncRNA from 1 species